CCAUGUGUUUGAUUUGGCAAAGAAUACGUUGGUUGGAGAGGGUAGUCGACUUUUUGGCCAGAUUCUUUAACACAGUCCAGGAAGCUGGAUGAUUUUUCAUGCUCAGAGAGUGAGAGUGACUAUUUGCAACACAAAUUUGGAGUUUUGCAUUAAAGCACCACCACAAAACCUCAAG